UUCUUGUUGACUGUUUUCUUGUUGACUGUUUUCUUGCUGACUGUUUUCUUGCUGACUGUUUUCUUGUUGACUGUUUUCUUGUUGACUGUUUUCUUGCUGACUGUUUUCUUGUUGACUAUUAUCUUGUUGACUGUUUUCUUGUUGACUGUUUUCUUGCUGACUGUUUUCUUGUUGACUGUUUUCUUGUUGACUGAUUAUAGUUGACGUUUUCUUGCUGACUGUUUUCUUGUUGACUGUUUUCUUGUUGACUGAUUAUGGUUGACGUUUUCUUGCUGACUGUUUUCUUGUUGACUGUUUUCUUGUUGACUGUUUUCUUGUUGACUGUUUUCUUGCUGACUGUUUUCUUGCUGACUGUUUUCUUGUUGACUGUUUUCUUGUUGACUGUUUUCUUGCUGACUGUUUUCUUGUUGACUAUUAUCUUGUUGACUGUUUUCUUGUUGACUGUUUUCUUGUUGACUGUUAUCUUGUUGACUGUUAUCUUGUUGACUGUUUUCUUGCUGACUGUUUUUUGUUGACUGUUUUGGUGUUGACCGUUUUCCUGUUGACUGGUUUGGUGUUGACUGUUUUCUUGCUGACUGUUUAUGUUUGAGUGUUUUCUUGCUUGUGUCGGCAGUCGUGGCCAAAGGAGGAUUCCGACAAUUUUCCGAACUUUCUGGUUGGUUUCUACUGUCCGAUAUUGUAGCACGCUAACUUUGUUUGGGCUCCUGAACGACACGGGGGAGCAGCGUCUGCCUCACAACCAAUCAGGUUAGAGGAGGUGGAGAACGGCUUUGUUUACAGUCAGAAAGAGCGGACCGCUCAAAAAUGUUCAAAUGUUGACGACACAGACAGAAGAGAACACAGAGAUAUCGAUAUAUUACCAAAUAAUCAAUAACUAAUAACUAUUGACUGAUAUUAGAAGAUGUUUUGUAAAUACUCCACAAA